rnacentral:rRNA from 1 species
GAUGAACGCUGGCGGCGUGCCUAAUACAUGCAAGUCGAGCGAACGGACGAUAAGCUUGCUUCUCUGAUGUUAGCGGCGGACGGGUGAGUAACACGUGGAUAACCUUCCUAUAAUACUGGGAUAACUUCGGGAAACCGGAUCUAAUACCGGAUAAUACUUUCAACCGCAUGGUUCAAAAGUGAAAGACGGUCUUGCUGUCACUUAUAGAUGGAUCCGCGCUGCAUUAGCUAGUUGGUAAGGUAACGGCUUACCAAGGCAACGAUGCAUAGCCGACCUGAGAGGAUGAUCGGCCACACUGGAACUGAGACACGGUCCAGACUCCUACGGGAGGCAGCAGUAGGGAAUCUUCCGCAAUGGGCGAAAGCCUGACGGAGCAACGCCGCGUGAGUGAUGAAGGUCUUCGGAUCGUAAAACUCUGUUAUUAGGGAAGAAAAUAUGUGUAAGUAACUGUGCACAUCUUGACGGUACCUAAUCAGAAAGCAACGGCUAACUACGUG